rnacentral:rRNA from 1 species
AUGCGCACUAGCCUGUACGCUGAUGACGCAGUCAUCUUCAUCAACCCCGUGCGCCAGGAGAUCAACGAGCUGCUGCACAUCCUUCAUCUCUUUGGAGAGGCAACCGGGCUGCGCGUCAACUUAGAAAAAUCAUCAGCCAUUCCGAUUGCGUGCGAUGAAAUCGACCUGCACACGGUUCUGCAAAAUUUUGGGGGGAUCGCGUCCUUGCCAAUCAGAUACCUCGGCCUGCCAAUCACUACGGGUAGGCUCAGAUUAGUGCACCUCCAAUUCAUCCUCGAUAGGAUCUGCACACGCCUUGCAGGCUGGAAAGGAGGCUGA